AGAGUUUGAUCAUGGCUCAGAACGAACGCUGGCGGCGCGUUUUAAGCAUGCAAGUCGAGCGGCAAGGGUCUUCGGGCCCCUAGAGCGGCGGACGGGUGAGUAACACGUGGACAAUCUGCCCCCCGGCCGGGGAUAGCCCAGGGAAACCUGGAUUAAUACCGGAUGAGACGGGACCCGCGGAGGCGGGAUCCGGGAAAGGCGCUGCGGCGCCGCCGGGGGAUGAGUCUGCGUCCCAUUAGCUUGACGGCGGGGUAACGGCCCACCGUGGCGACGAUGGGUAGCCGGCCUGAGAGGGUGUACGGCCACAUUGGAACUGAGACACGGUCCAGACUCCUACGGGAGGCAGCAGCUAAGAAUCUUCCGCAAUGGGCGAAAGCCUGACGGAGCGACGCCGCGUGAACGAAGAAGGCCGUGAGGUUGUAAAGUUCUUUUCGGGAGGGGGAACGACCGUGGCAGGGAAUGGCCGCGGGAUGACGUGAAUCCCGGAAUAAGCCCCGGCUAACUACGUGCCAGCAGCCGCGGUAACACGUAGGGGGCGAGCGUUGUUCGGAAUCAUUGGGCGUAAAGGGCGUGCAGGCGGUCCUGCAAGUCCGGCGUGAAAGACCCCGGCCCAACCGGGGGGGCGCGCUGGAAACUGCAGGGCUUGAGUACAGGAGGGGAUGCCGGAAUUCCAGGUGUAGGGGUGAAAUCUGUAGAUAUCUGGAGGAACACCAAUGGCGAAGGCAGGCAUCUGGCCAUGUACUGACGCUGAGACGCGUAGGUGCGGGGAGCAAACAGGUUUAGAUACCCUGGUAGUCCGCACAGUAAACGAUGUGCACCAGGUGGCGGGGGGUCGACCCCCGGUACCAUAGCCAACGCAUUAAGUGCACCGCCUGGGGAGUAUGCUCGCAAGGGUGAAACUCAAAUGAAUUGACGG
rnacentral:rRNA from 1 species